rnacentral:lncRNA from 1 species
AUAUUUCUUAGGGACCAGAGGUGUUUUUAAUAAGAUAAUCUUUGAUUUUUUUUUUCUAAAAAUAAAGGAAACACUAACUUUAAACUUUAACAUCAACUUUUAAAUUAUGCGUGUUCAGCAUUGAUUGACCAUGGCUGUGAGUUGUAAAAUGUUUUCAUAUUAAGAAUGUAAUUAUUUCCUUAUUGUAUUUUUUAAAAGCUA